GACGAACGCUGGCGGCGUGCCUAAUACAUGCAAGUAGAACGCAGUUGCGAACGGGUGAGUAACGCGUAGGUAACUGCCUCAUAGCGGGGGAUAACUAUUGGAAAAGAUAGUUAAUACCGCAUACUGUGCGAUGGACCUGCGUUGUAUUAGCUAGUUGGUUAGGUAAAGGCUCACCAAGGCUACGAUACAUAGCCGACCUGAGAGGGUGAUCGGCGCCACUGUCACUUGUGCACGUCCCAGAGACCUUUGGAUGGCAGCCGAAGGAAAACUGCGGUGAUGGACGGAAGUCUAACAGAGCAACAGCGGGUUAGUGAUGCAGGUGUUCAGAUCAUAAAGCUCUGUUGUUAGAGAAGCGGAAGCUUUCCAUAAAGACACGGCUAACUACGUGCCAGCAGCCGCGGUAAUUC
rnacentral:rRNA from 1 species